UCUGGCUCUAGGUUCUAGACGCUCCAGACACGUUCAAACAGUUCAAACUCCAGACCCUCCAGACACUUGCUGCUCGCCGGGUUUCCGUUUUGUGAAAGAAAGUUGGCAAGAUGCCCAUGUGCUGCGCCGUCGGUUGUAGCAGCCGCUUCAAAGACGGCAAGCGCCUUUUUAGAGUGCCAUCGGGCAAGCGAGAUGUCGCCCGUCGGGAAGAAUGGUUGCGGAGAAUAAACCGCAAGAAUUUUACGCCGUCGGGGCAGACACGGCUCUGCGAGGAUCAUUUUACGCCAGACGCGUUUGAAAGACACCGAGCAGACGGAAAACGCAAGCUAAAACCCAACGCCGUGCCCUCGGUUUUCGCUCCCUUCAAACCACGGACGCAUGCAAGGCGGCCUCCCCGACAGAAAAGUAUACGAUGUGAUGCAAAUGUGCAGCCUGGGAACUCGGCCAUGGGCAACGAAGCAGCCUCGGCAAUGGUUGAAGGUGAUGCAAACGUGCCGCCUCAGAACUCGGCCAUGAGCGACGAAGCAGCCUUGGCAAUGGCCGAAGGUGACGAAUAUAUACUGCCUGGAAGCUUGACCACGAGCGACAAACAAGUGUGUGCAACGACCAGAGUUUGCUUCAUUCAUGAGGAGCGAAUUAGAGAGCUGGAGAGGAAAUUACAGAAUGCAGAAGGACGAGUGAGGAAGCUUGAGAAAGAGAAAGAAAUCCUCCUGAACGAGCUUCGAAUGCUGCUGGCAGCCGGUCAGGUAUUCUGACCGGGCUUUCUUCGUCGCUCAAGGCCAAAGUUGCUUCGAUAUUGCCCGUGAAGUGCCAUGCUGCUCUUAUGAUACAUGAGGUGCGGAUAACCCCGGGGCAAAGACUACGAUCCAUCUCUGAAGAAAGUCGUCGGAAAGACCCCUGCCCCUCUGGCUCCUGGCAACAUCUCCACCGAUGGACCGUUUUGUUUUCACGCUUGCAGGAAUGUUGUCACACUGAAAGCAGACUAUUGCGUACAAAUUUACAGCUUACCUGAUCCACCACAGACUGAACACGACGACCAGACUCAACGAGGUCGCCACCUUCACGGAUAAAUAAAUGUACCUUCAAAGGCA
rnacentral:misc_RNA from 1 species